rnacentral:rRNA from 1 species
GACGAACACUGGCGGCGUGCCUAAUACAUGCAAGUCGACCUUAGUGGCGAAUGGGUGAGUAACACGUGGGUAACCGGCCCAUCAGACGGGGAUAACACUUGGAAACAGGUGCUAAUACCGUAUACUGAUGGAUGGACCCGCGGUGCAUUAGCUAGUUGGAGAGGUAACGGCUCACCAAGGCGACGAUGCAUAGCUGGCCUGUGAGGGUGAUCGGCCACAUUGGAACUGAGACACGGCCCAAACUCCUACGGGAGGCAACAGUAGGGAAUCUUCGGCAAUGGACGAAAGCCUGAGCGAGCCACGCCGCGUGAGUGAAGAAGGUUUUCGGAUCGUAAAGCUCUGUUGUUAGAGAAGCGGUAUCUAACCAGAAAGCCACGGCUAACUACGUGCCAGCAGCCGCGGUAAUAC